UCAACACUGCUGCACCAACAAUCCCCACCGGUGGCGCGCUGUACCCGUGGAGGUCUUCCCCCUGACGCCGACAUUGUCGCCCCGCCGGUGAGGCCGCGGCUUCCCCACGUGAAGACCCAGGGACGCCGCCGUCCUUUCUCCACGCGAAUAACCCAGCCGCCGCCGCGGCUGCAGCUGCAGCCUCUCCACGAGCCCGCGGCCCCGCGCUCCCAGCACGCCACCACGAGACCGCCAGAAGCUGCUCUUCAUAAUCUGCAGGAAUGGAGUUAUCAUCAUUCACACACGCAUCUGGGAGAGGAACGAUAAGAACGGGAGAUCAUUCAGUAAUGAUGACUAAUAUUUUGUCUUCCAAAGAGAGCAUGCAUGCCCAGAUUUUCAGCACGCAUGUCCAGCACAGUUUAUACAGUGCUAAACAGGGAGAAAGAUGAUUACACAUCUUGCCGGGAUGCGUCCCCGCGUAAAGGAUUACAUAUCACUGUUAGAUUGGAAGACUGAGAUGAGGUCUGAAUUUGUAACCUCUAUUUUCUACCCAUUGGCAGCGGCCUGGACAGGGAGGUCGGAGUUUUUGCUCAUUCUAUUUGGAGACAACAAUUCCAAGUGGUGGUAACAAUUAGUUAGUACACUAUAUCAUUCCAUUAUGAAAUCGUUAAUCAUGUGUGCAUAUUUUUGUUUUAGUUGGCAGCUAUAUGAUCGCUUCAAUGCCCUUACCGAGUAGGAAUUUUCAUAAUAGUAACUAUCAACAAACUAGAGGCUUCGGUGGUGCUUUAGGGUUGUAGAUCUUUUUUACUUUUGGACUCGGUGUGCAACAACAUAGUGAGUACAUGCCAAUUGUAAGUCUUGUCAAUAUUUACUGAAGGGAAUAUUCACAAGGAGAUAAUUAAAUGCUAGCUGGGUAAACUGAAUUGGUAUUUUGUAAUGAUAUCUUGGGAGAACCUUUAGAAGCAUCACUUCUUUUAAGACAUGCAGAAUUUAUGUUUUAAAUCACUUUGUGAUGGCGAUCUAUUGAUCUAAUAAGUUAGCCACGACAAAUGCUUAAUCUAUUCUGGAACUUGUCAUCAGCUGAAAAGCUGGUUCAUUAGUACCAGCCGUAGGUUUAACUUUGCUGGGGGGAAUAAGUGCGUCUGAAAUGCUUUAGUGGUUAUGC